UAUUGGUCAAUGGACGAGAGUCUGAACCAGCCAAGUAGCGUGAAGGAUUACUGCCCUAUGGGUUGUAAACUUCUUUUAUACGGGAAUAAAGUGAGGCAAGUGUGCCUUUUUGUAUGUACCGUAUGAAUAAGGAUCGGCUAACUACGUGCCAGCAGCCGCGGUAAUACGGAGGAUCCGAGCGUUAUCCGGAUUUAUUGGGUUUAAAGGGAGCGUAGGCGGACGCUUAAGUCGGUUGUGAAAGUUUGCGGCUCAACCGUAAAAUUGCAGUUGAUACUGGGUGUCUGGAGUACAGUAGAGGCAGGCGGAAUUCGUGGUGUAGCGGUGAAAUGCUUAGAUAUCACGAAGAACUCCGAUUGCGAAGGCAGCCUGCUGGACUGUAACUGACGCUGAUGCUCGAAAGUGUGGGUAUCAAAC
rnacentral:rRNA from 1 species